rnacentral:rRNA from 1 species
CCCGCACCGUCGGUUCACCGCCCGACGGUGUCAAACUGACGCGAUGCGGGACGUCCUGCCGGUGGCGUGUCUAGCUGGCGGCUCUCGGGUCGUUGGGCGGCGCCGAUUCAAUCCUGUCGCGGUGCUCUUCAUUGAGUGUCGAGAUGGGCCGGCACGUUUACUUUGAACAAAUUAGAGUGUUCAAGCAGGCUGGAUAUUGCCUGAAUGCUAGUGCAUGGAAUAAUGGAAUAGGACCUCGGUUCUAUUUUGUUGGUUUUCAGAACCAGAGGUAAUGAUUAAUGGAGACAGGCGGGGGCAUUCGUAUUGCGACGUUAGAGGUGAAAUUCUUGGAUCGUCGCAAGACGGACCGAAGCGAAAGCAUUUGCCAAGGAUGUUCUCGUUGAUCAAGAACGAAAGUUAGAGGUUCGAAGGCGAUCAGAUACCGCCCUAGUUCUAACCAUAAACGAUGUUGACUAGCCAUCCGUUAAAGGUUCUUUUUAUGCCUUAACGGGCAGCUUCCGGGAAACCAAAGUUUUUGAAUUCCGGGGGAAGUAUGGUUGCAAAGCUGAAACUUAAAGGAAUUGACGGAAGGGCACCACCAGGAGUGGAGCCUGCGGCUUAAUUUGACUCAACACGGGAAACCUCACCAGGCCCGGACACUGGAAGGAUUGACAGAUUGAUAGCUCUUUCUUGAUUCAGUGGGUGGUGGUGCAUGGCCGUUCUUAGUUGGUGGAGCGAUUUGUCUGCUUAAUUGCGAUAACGAACGA